rfam:Candidatus Buchananbacteria bacterium RIFCSPHIGHO2_02_FTLL_38_8 rifcsphigho2_02_scaffold_104300, whole genome shotgun sequence.
GGGGGAAUAGUUCAAUGGUAGAACAUCGGUCUCCAAAACCGAGGAUGAGGGUUCAAUUCCUUCUUCCCCUG